AAAAUAACCUCAUAGAUUGCAUGGAAGUUCGAGCUGAAAGUUGUUCGUUUAUGCAAAAUGGUGGAAGUUAAAGUUUUUAGUAAAUCCAAUUGGAUUGUGUUGUCUUUUGUGAUUUGGCAAAUGCUAGCCCUCACAAUGGGAAGACCUGCACCUCAAGAUGAUGAUCCUUGUGAUGAUCCCGUUAGCGAGAUGUGUCAAUUACUUCUAGAUGUAUCAGCCAGUAAGAGCAUAUCUUUAAUUUGAAAGCAGACUUCGAACUGAUAUUUACUUAUCUAUAUAUUGUUUUUUAUCUUUUUUCCGAAUCUAUAAUCUAUGCUUUUGGAUGAAAUUGAAAUACAUUGAAUUGCAGCUGUGGAAGGUACGUAAA